rnacentral:rRNA from 1 species
UACGAAGGGAGCUAGCGUUGUUCGGAAUCACUGGGCGUAAAGCGCACGUAGGCGGAUGUGUCAGUCAGGGGUGAAAUCCCGGAGCUCAACUUCGGAACUGCCCUUGAUACAGCACGUCUUGAGUCCGGAAGAGGUGGGUGGAAUUCCUAGUGUAGAGGUGAAAUUCGUAGAUAUGACAUAGAACACCAAUUGCGAAGGCAGCUCACUACUCAAUCAUUGACUCUGAGGCACGAAAGCGUGGGGAUCAAACAGG